CAGCCGCCGCGGGAAUACGAAGGGUGCAAGCGUUAAUCGGAAUUACUGGGCGUAAAGCGUGCGUAGGCGGUGAGUUAAGUCUGCUGUGAAAUCCCCGGGCUCAACCUGGGAAUGGCAGUGGAUACUGGCUCGCUAGAGUGUGUCAGAGGAUGGUGGAAUUCCCGGUGUAGCGGUGAAAUGCGUAGAGAUCGGGAGGAACAUCAGUGGCGAAGGCGGCCAUCUGGGACAACACUGACGCUGAGGCACGAAAGCGUGGGGAGCAAACAGGAUUAGAUACCCCCGUAGUCCUGUCUCUUAUACA
rnacentral:rRNA from 1 species